GAAGAUACAGCCAAGAUACUGGAGUUGCCCGUGGCUUUCCAGGAAGACCAGAAGGACUUGAGCUCUCCAUCCAGAUGGAUUCCCGAGCUAUCAGGAGGAGAGGUGCGCGGGGAGCAGCCGGGAGCACAGCGUGCCCAGCUCCAUGUGCCUCCCACCAGCAGCUCUCGCCUGCCCGGGCACGCAUGGAGCACGCCGUGCUGCCUGAUGGCAUACGAAACCACCAGGUUUACGGAGGAUCAGAUUUAAGGAUCAUCACGAAGCUUGGCAUCGUGCUGUGGAUUUGGCGAUUAUGCUGCUGGGUCGUUUUUCCUCCGUGGCUUCGUCAGCUUGCCAAGUGCAGGGUUUCGAGAAAGCAGGUAGAUGCAAAGCUGUUACAACACGCCGUGGAAGUGCGAUGGGAGGGAGACGCUUACUCACGGAGCCGUGCCGUGGGCUGGUGA
rnacentral:lncRNA from 1 species